rnacentral:rRNA from 1 species
UACGUAGGGGGCGAGCGUUGUCCGGAUUUAUUGGGUUUAAAGGGUGCGUAGGCGGUCUUAUAAGUCAGUGCUGAAAUAUCCCGGCUUAACCGGGAGGGUGGCAUUGAUACUGUAGGGCUUGAGUAAAGUUGAGGUAGGCGGAAUUGACGGUGUAGCGGUGAAAUGCUUAGAUAUCGUCAAGAACACCAAUAGUGAAGACAGCUUACUAAGCUUUAACUGACGCUGAUGCACGAAAGUGUGGGGAUCAAACAGG